rnacentral:lncRNA from 1 species
AAGUGGUGUCCAUUGAAUAGUCAUGAAGAGUAUAUUGCAUCAACAACACAUAACUUGAAAUGCGGAAUUACUAACAUAAUCAAACUCAGCAAGCAAGGCAAGGGUACAAGUUAACUCACUGUAUGGGCAUAGAUCCUAUUGACUUCACUAAUGUCUUAUGCACAUUACCCUUAAUAACAUGGUCAAUACAAUAGUCAUCUACCAACUAUUUUGGGGAUGGAAGUUAGAUAGUACAGAAGCAUAACAACUCAUCUGCUCAAAAAUGCAAAGAGAACUGCUACGCAGGCUAUGGGUUGUGCCUGAUUUCUACAUGACAAGAUAUAGCAGCCAUCGAUCACCUCGGCCGCAGCCAUCGAUCACAAGUUUGUGUGAAAAUCGUCCUGCAAAGGGUCAUGUUCACAGCAAUUCAUUAAACAAUUUCUGGAAAAUUAACACUGCAUUCACAAUAGUCAAUAGUUAUUAACCAAUAAAAGACGGAUCAACUGCUGUUAUGGAAUUCUGAACGGGAUGCAAAAUUGUUGCUUAGCCUUCUCAUCCAUGCCCUGAGUAUCCUUUUCCCCUUUCUACACAUGUUGCAUAACAAAAAUUGGGGCAUUUACUAACAAAGAUUAUACAACAUAGAAUGGUAGAAGAAAAGAAUACAUGUACUGUAUGUACGUAGUAGACAUAUGAAAAUAAGCAAGGACAUAAAUAAGAUGUGCAACUGAACAUGGAAAGAAGAGAGGAGUUACUGCAGGUGGGUGUACAUGCGCUGGACUUAGCAAAGGGAAGGGGAGAAAGAAAGUUUCAGGGGUGGUGGUACAGACCUGUGAUGUCGUUCUCCUCCUGGUUGUCCACUCCUUAUUGUUCAGUUUGUGCACAUCUUAUCCUGGGCUUCCUGGGCGAUCCUUGAUCACAGCAGCGUGCCCUGAUGGCAUCCACGGGCUACUGGCGGCGGAGCGGGCGCGAUGGCUUUGUGCAGGGACCCGAGGAUGCCCGACUUCCUGCUGCUCCCGCUGACCUUCUGCUUCCCAAUGCUCGAGCGGCCCGACCUCUCAUUGACCUCGUUGUGGGGACAACGCUUCUCUCAUCGGCCUCGCACGUCGCAGGGGCGCCCGCCACCUCCUCUCCAACGACCUCCCACUCCACCAGGAGGAGAUCGCCAAACCGAAC